rnacentral:rRNA from 1 species
GACGAACGCUGGCGGCGUGCUUAACACAUGCAAGUCGUACGGUAAGGCCCUUUUUGGGUUGCACGCUUGGCUGACGGGUGAGUAACACGUAAGUAACUUGCCCACCACUUUCUGUUAACUCUCUUCAACUAGUUCUAAUUCUUGCUAUGUUCUCCUGCCGCCUGCUUGGUGUUGGAUAGCUCCUGGGGUUGUGGGUGGAUUCGCGGGCUAUCAGCUUGGUUGUGGGGUAGUGGGCUACCUAGGAGGCCACGGGUAGGCGGCCUGGGAGGGUGGCCGGCCACAAUGGGGAUGAGAUACGGCCCAGACGCCUACGGGGGGGAGGAGGGGGGAAAAAUGGACAAUGGGGGCGAGCCUGAAGCAGCAACGCCGCGGGCGGGAUGAAGGGCUUCGGGUUGGAAAACGGUUUCAGCAGGGACGAAGCUGUGUGUGACGGUACCUGGAGAAGAAGCACCGGCUAACUACGUG